rnacentral:rRNA from 1 species
GUUGAACGCUGGCGGCAUGCCUUACACAUGCAAGUCGAACGGCAGCACGGGUGCUUGCACCUGGUGGCGAGUGGCGAACGGGUGAGUAAUACAUCGGAACGUACCUUAUCGUUGGGGAUGACGCAGCGAAAGUUGCGCUAAUACCGCAUACGCCCUGAGGGGGAAAGCGGGGGACCGUAAGGCCUCGCGCGAUUAGAGCGGCCGAUGUCUGAUUAGCUUGUUGGUGAGGUAAAAGCUCACCAAGGCGAUGAUCAGUAGCUGGUCUGAGAGGACGAUCAGCCACACUGGGACUGAGACACGGCCCAGACUCCUACGGGAGGCAGCAGUGGGGAAUUUUGGACAAUGGGGGCAACCCUGAUCCAGCAAUGCCGCGUGAGUGAAGAAGGCCUUCGGGUUGUAAAGCUCUUUUGUCAGGGAAGAAACAGCAGCUCUAACACAGUCUGCGAAUGACGGUACCUGAAGAAUAAGCACCGGCUAACUACGUGCCAGCCGCCGCGGUAA